UUGCAAUGACAUUAGCCUUGGUGAUUUUUUUUUUCCCUCUUAAGCUGUCAGUUGCUGAGUUUUUCUCGUUGCUCUCUCUGGCAGAGGCACAUUUAUUUAUCACACAAGAGGUUGGCUCUGCAAGAAUUCAUGAAACUUCCUUCUGGAGAUGGAAGGAAAACAUCUCCUUCCUAGCCUGUGCCAUCUACCGAAAACCUUUCAAAACCAAAAGCUAGUGACCGUCCUAGUGGACAGAUGUCAUCCAAAGCAGACAUGGAUCAUUUUGUUUGUUGUUCUCGCUAACCCUGCACGACUUUGAACCCCCUCUGUCAAUAAAAGAGACAGGAGCACAAAACCCUUUAAACUUCCUGUUUCCCUCCCAGUGUGCUGACAUUUCAAAGCCCCAUAUGUUUCCCUAAACAAAGCUUCAUGAAAAUAUGUGUUAAAAAAAAACAAAACUGUUUUCAGGUUAUUACAACCCGAAGAGAAGAGAGGCUGCCCAUGGCUGGUCACACAGUUUACAGGAUGCUGGGAUUGUCUCUACCCCUCUUGAUAACAGCAGGCACAUUUGAAAGGUUUAAAACAGAGAUGUGGUUGAAGACCUGUGAUAAAUAUAUGCUUCUUCAUUUAGCCAGAAAAAAGGAUAAACUGAUCCCACACCUGUAGAAACAAUAAUGAUUUAGCAGAGAAACGAUGACUCACCAGCCAUUCAAGGUGAAAGUUUAGUAGAAGCAGGUAAGAUUUUGCGUCUGUGUAUUUUCACUUCAUCAAGACUAAAAUCCGUUGCCAUGUGGGGUCCAGGCAGCAUUUGAGGAUGCCUGUGGACACAGGGUGGCUGACCACCCACUAGGUGGAAUUUUGCACUCCUGGAAUUCUCCUAGCAAGCAAUGUGAGCUGACACGGGGCCAGCCCAGAGUUCUCUGGUGUGACAGGGCUCUCGGGGUGGUUAGAGCUUAUCUUUUGGCAGUUCCUUCUUCACCCUUCCAAAUCCACACAACAGCACGGGAACCAUCCAGGAGCUGGACUAGAGGCACAAGGCGUCAGCAAUUUGGGCCAUUCCAUCUGGUUAUGGCUCCUCGACUUACACAGGCCGUGGUCCACAAAAGAGGUUUCUGUAAGAAGUUGACCCUACCAGAGGAGCCCUCAGUCUCACAUCUAAGUUUGGAGGGAAGAUUACAAACUGUUCACUCAACUUGACAGGUACUUGCAAAUCACUUGGUCUGUUCCGUCUAUGAAUAAACAACGCUUAUAUGCAAAUGAUGAACA
rnacentral:lncRNA from 1 species